rnacentral:ncRNA from 1 species
AAUUGUGAUAUUUCUUAGACUUUUCCUUAACUAUCCUAGCUAUCCACAGACACGGAUGUCUGUGGAAGUUCGAUAUGGGACAGGACGUCCCGUAUCGAACGGUAGCGGUCGCAGUCAUUAUCCAUACGAAAAGUCUUAGAAAUAUCCAAUUAAA